rnacentral:rRNA from 1 species
GAUGAACGCUGGCGGCGUGCCUAAUACAUGCAAGUCGAGCGAACGGACGAGAAGCUUGCUUUUCUGAUGUUAGCGGCGGACGGGUGAGUAACACGUGGAUAACCUACCUAUAAGACUGGGAUAACUUCGGGAAACCGGAGCUAAUACCGGAUAAUAUUUUGAACCGCAUGGUUCAAAAGUGAAAGACGGUCUUGCUGUCACUUAUAGAUGGAUCCGCGCUGCAUUAGCUAGUUGGUAAGGUAACGGCUUACCAAGGCAACGAUGCAUAGCCGACCUGAGAGGGUGAUCGGCCACACUGGAACUGAGACACGGUCCAGACUCCUACGGGAGGCAGCAGUAGGGAAUCUUCCGCAAUGGGCGAAAGCCUGACGGAGCAACGCCGCGUGAGUGAUGAAGGUCUUCGGAUCGUAAAACUCUGUUAUUAGGGAAGAACAUAUGUGUAAGUAACUGUGCACAUCUUGACGGUACCUAAUCAGAAAGCCACGGCUAACUACGUGCCAGCAGCCGCGGUAAUACGUAGGUGGCAAGCGUUAUCCGGAAUUAUUGGGCGUAAAGCGCGCGUAGGCGGUUUUUUAAGUCUGAUGUGAAAGCCCACGGCUCAACCGUGGAGGGUCAUUGGAAACUGGAAAACUUGAGUGCAGAAGAGGAAAGUGGAAUUCCACGUGUAGCGGUGAAAUGCGCAGAGAUAUGGAGGAACACCAGUGGCGAAGGCGACUUUCUGGUCUGUAACUGACGCUGAUGUGCGAAAGCGUGGGGAUCAAACAGGAUUAGAUACCCUGGUAGUCCACGCCGUAAACGAUGAGUGCUAAGUGUUAGGGGGUUUCCGCCCCUUAGUGCUGCAGCUAACGCAUUAAGCACUCCGCCUGGGGAGUACGACCGCAAGGUUGAAACUCAAAGGAAUUGACGGGGGCCCGCACAAGCGGUGGAGCAUGUGGUUUAAUUCGAAGCAACGCGAAGAACCUUACCAAAUCUUGACAUCCUUUGACAACUCUAGAGAUAGAGCCUUCCCCUUCGGGGGACAAAGUGACAGGUGGUGCAUGGUUGUCGUCAGCUCGUGUCGUGAGAUGUUGGGUUAAGUCCCGCAACGAGCGCAACCCUUAAGCUUAGUUGCCAUCAUUAAGUUGGGCACUCUAAGUUGACUGCCGGUGACAAACCGGAGGAAGGUGGGGAUGACGUCAAAUCAUCAUGCCCCUUAUGAUUUGGGCUACACACGUGCUACAAUGGACAAUACAAAGGGCAGCGAAACCGCGAGGUCAAGCAAAUCCCAUAAAGUUGUUCUCAGUUCGGAUUGUAGUCUGCAACUCGACUACAUGAAGCUGGAAUCGCUAGUAAUCGUAGAUCAGCAUGCUACGGUGAAUACGUUCCCGGGUCU